AAUUCUCAACCUCCUCGGUUUCUUUUGGACACUGAAGGAAGCUUGGACUUUGGAGGGCUUUGCUGGACUUGAAAGGCCAGCUCCUCUCAAAUGAAUUAGCAAGGUUCCCUUUGCCGAUCCUCGACGUGUGAUAAGAUGCUUCCACGUCUCGGUCUUUGGCUCUGUCGCCUUUUGGGACCUGCUUCCAAUUGUCUCUUGACUGAGACAACGUUCGAGCUUGUCUCGACCACGUAC
rnacentral:misc_RNA from 1 species